rnacentral:rRNA from 1 species
UACGUAGGGAGCGAGCGUUGUCCGGAUUCAUUGGGCGUAAAGAGCUCGUAGGCGGCUUGGCAAGUCGGGUGUGAAAACUCCAGGCUCAACCUGGAGACGCCACCUGAUACUGCCAUGGCUAGAGUCCGGUAGGGGACCACGGAAUUCCCGGUGUAGCGGUGAAAUGCGCAGAUAUCAGGAGGAACACCGGUGGCGAAGGCGGUGGUCUGGGCCGGUACUGACGCUGAGGAGCGAAAGCGUGGGGAGCGAACAGG